GUCGAGAAUCUUCCGCAAUGGGCGAAAGCCUGACGGAGCGACGCCGCGUGGACGAUGAAGGCCUUCGGGUUGUAAAGUCCUUUCGCGCAGGAGGAAAACCAAGGUGCUAAUAACACCUUGUUUGACGUUACUGUGUAAAGAAGCUCCGGCUAACUUCGUGCCAGCAGCCGCGGUAAGACGAAGGGAGCGAGCGUUGUUCGGAAUCACUGGGCAUAAAGGGCACGCAGGCGGCCUGGUAAGUUGGAUGUGAAAUCCCCUGGCUCACCCAGGGAACUGCAUUCAAUACUGCCGGGCUUGAGGUCGGGAGGGGAGAGUGGAACUCCUAGUGUAGCGGUGAAAUGCGUAGAUAUUAGGAGGAACGCCGGUGGCGAAAGCGACUCUCUGGCCCGAUUCUGACGCUGAGGUGCGAAAGCCAGGGGAGCGAACGGGAUUAGAUACCCCAGUAGUCC
rnacentral:rRNA from 1 species